rnacentral:misc_RNA from 1 species
GAUGAAGAACGCAGCGAAAUGCGAUACGUAAUGUGAAUUGCAGAUUUCAGUGAAUCAUCGAAUCUUUGAACGCACAUUGCGCCCGCUAGUAUUCUGGCGGGCAUGCCUGUUCGAGCGUCAUUUCAACCAUCAAGCCCCCGGCUUGCGUUGGAGCCCUGCGGCUGCCGCAGGCUCCCAAAUCCAGUGGCGGGCUCGUCGUCGUACCGAGUGCAGUAAACAUCCUCGCUCAGGGAACGUGACGGGUUCUUGCCGUGAAACCCCCCACAUAUCAAGGUUGACCUCGGAUCAGGUAGGAAUACCCGCUGAACUUAAGCAUAUCAAUAAGCGGAGGA